rnacentral:rRNA from 1 species
CAAUAGCGUAUAUUAAAGUUGUUGCAGUUAAAAAGCUCGUAGUUGGAUUUCUGGUAGGAGCGACCGUGCCGAACUUGAUUGUUCGAGUAUUGUGUUGUCUUCAGCCAUCCUCGUGGAGAACUUUUCUAACAUUAACUUGUUGGGAUUGGGACCCGCGUCGUUUACUGUGAAAAAAUUAGAGUGUUUAAAGCAGGCACUAGCUUGAAUACAUUAGCAUGGAAUAAUAAGAUAGGACUUUGGUACUAUUUUGUUGGUUUGCAUACCAAAUUAAUGAUCAACAGGAACAGUUUGAGGAUAUUCGUAUGAACAUGUCAGAGGUGAAAUUCUUGGAUUUUGAUCAGACGAACUACUGCGAAAGCAUUUAUCAAGGAUGUUUUCAUUAA